UAUAUAUAUAUCCAUGGUAUAAACAUGCAUACCUAACCAAUAUACCGUAUGCCAGGCUAUGAGCGAGUCAACUUAUUGUAGAUGUGUGAACUAAGUCAAUUAAGUGUAACUUUAUAAUUGUUGAUUAUAAUGUGGUACUUGGUUAAUGAACAAGGUGUCCGCAUAUAUUUAAAACCAAAUCAAGAGACGUUAAUCGGCAGGAAGAAAGCUGACAUUGUUUUGCCAAAUGAUAAAUCAAUCAGCAAGGAACAUGCCUCAAUUAGCGUUACAAAAUUAGAGGAGAUAAGGAGUACUGAACCAACAUCUAUAUGUAAACUAAAAGACUUAAAGUCAAAAUAUGGUACUUUUAUCCUUCAUGAACGUGACAUAAUACAACUAACUGAAACUGAAUGUAUUUUAAAACAUCAAGAUACAAUAAGAUUUGGUUUACAGAACCAUGUAUUUAAGGUGAUAAAUGUGCCUAUAAUAACAACAGUAUCUACUUUAUGUGAUAACGAAAUAGAAAGAUUAAAACAAUUGAUGGAAGAAAUUGAUGGUGUAAUAAUUACUGACAGCGAUUGGAGAAGGGCAUCCACUUAUUUAACAGUAGGAAAUGCUAUCUUAACACUAAAGCUUGCCUCUGCUAUGGCUUCUGCUCUACCAAUAGUGACAAUGAAAUAUUGGGACGAAGUUAAAUCUGCAAUAGAUAAUGGUCAACAACUCCCAGAUUCAAAUAAUUUUGUUCCACCAAUUAGUGAACCAUUAAUCGCUAAAAAAAAGGUAUUGAUUUCUCCAAACAAGAAAAGAACAACGUUAUUUGAAAAUUUAACAUUUAUACAUUUUAGUACAACUCAAUAUAGGAAAUAUAAAAAAAUCAUUAGAAUAGCAGGUGGAAUACCACAAUUAUUUGAAAGAGCAAGCCUAACAACUACAGAAUUUUGUAGCCCAAACGUGAUUGUAUUACAAUAUUCAGACAAUGAUUCAACACAGAUCACGGAAAAUAUUUUCUGUACAUAUCAUUCAAUACAACAAGCAUUGAAAGCAAAUAAUUAUAGAAUGAUAGCUGAAGUUGAAAUUUGUCUUGCAAUAUUGCAUUGUUCGACAGAAAAAUAUUGCAAUCCUAUGUAUAAAUUCGCAAAGCUUUUAAAAAGAUCGGAACGAAAGAAUGAUUCAUGUGAGAUUUUAAAUCUUGAUACACAAGAUGAAACAGCCAAAGUGUCAGCAUUACCAACUUCUUCGUUUUCGAUAUCGACACCCGUAAAACACCGUAUUAUUCCUGAAACAUUGGAUAUCAGUCAAGAACCAUUACCAAAUGUAAGUGGUGUUGUCAUACAACCUACAGAAGAGCAAAAAUAUAAUAAAAUACAAUGCAUAAGAAAAACUCCUAAUGAUACUUCAGCAACAGAGAAUGUACAAGUUACACGAUCAAGAGUAAUUUCCAACGUUUCGGCAACGACAUCGGUGAAAAUAAGACAACGUGUUAUUCCUGAAACAUUGAGUAGCAUCAGUAGUCAAGAAUCACAAUCAGAUGUACAUUAUAUUUUCACACAACCAACAGGAACACAAAGAUAUAAUGAAAUACAGUGCAUAAAAGAAACUCCUACUGAUACUUCAGCAACAGUGAAAAAUGUGCAAGUUACACAACCAAAAGAAAUUUCCAACCUUUCGAAAACAACAUUCGUGAAAGUAAGACAAUGUGUUAUUCCUGAAACACUGAGCAGCAUUAGUAGCCAAGAAUUACAAUCAAAUUCAAAUUUUGCUGAUACACAACCUACAAGAAAGCAAAAAUGUAAUAAAUUACAAUACAUAGACGAAACUCCUAAUGAUGCUUCAGCAACAGAGGCAAGUAUGCAAGAUAUACGAUCUAAUGAAAACAAUUCGACUUUUCCUAAUAUGUUCUCACAAAUCAUUCGAUAUUCUAACCAUGAUAACCAGAAUUUACACAAACACGGUAAUAUACAGGAUAAGAGACAAUCAAAGGAAGUAAUAAUCUUAAGUGAUGAUGAAAUUGAACUAAAACCAGUACAGCAAAAUAAAAAUAAUAACACGAAUUCUAAUAAAGAUUUCAUACAUAAUACAUUGAAUAAUAUAUUUAAAACAAGUAAUUCAAGAGAUGAAAAUAGGCAAAUGCAACAAACAGCUCGAUUAACUGAUAAUCGUAUAGCUGCCGCAAAUUUAAAAGAAAUGUGUGAAGUCGAUAAAAAAAUAGAAUUAAAAAAUGUGCGCCCUGUAACACUAGAAGUAGAGAAAAAGCAUAAUAAAGAAACGACAUGUUCAGAAAAUUCAAUUACACCACAUACAACAGAACCACUAAAUACACCUGAAGAUUCUCUUAUAUGUUCUGUGGAAACAGAAAAAAGGAAACAUAAAGCACAAAAUGUUAUAAGUUCCGCACUAAAAAGUAAUUCAUCACUUCGAGCUCAUCUUAAUUUCAAAGUGUUCAAAAAGAUUCCUGCUAUAGUUCCUCAGAAAAGGAUAAAAAUCGAUAAUAUAUUGAUGGCGUCUUGGAGAAACGUUAGUUUUACGCGGGAAGUCCAGCGAAACGGAACAUCAGAUCCCAUUAGGGAACAUUCGUGGCCGUGUGUAAUGUGAUCAGCAGAGUCAGUGUUUGCUACGUAAAGUUAUCUCCAAUAUUUUUGAGAUUAAGACAGUUCUUAGUGAUCAUAAAUUGAAUCAGAAUUCAUACGCGAAUUUAAACGCCAGUGUUUGUCCGUCGCUUGUAAUUUAAACGAGCACGUUAAUAGUCUUUUAUCUUUUUUAUACACACACACACACGCGCGCGCGCGCGCACACACACACACACACACACACACAGAUAUAUUCUUCUUUUUAAAUACUCUUUUCCGGUAUUAGAAUCAGCCCUCCCCUCAAAAGGAUCCAACCUCUUUAAAAACCAAGAAAAGUAAGUAUCUUUAUAUAUUAUAUACCACUUUGUCUUAUUCAUAGCUUAAACUGCUGUUAAUCAUGAAGGCAAUUUAGUGAAGUUCCAAAUUUUUAUUCUUUAUUGAAAUAAAAUCAGAUUUUAGAUUGAACAUUUAUUCUUACUAAAGUUCUAAAUGUAAUAAAGUUCCAUCUUUCUUUUGUUAAAGAUUUUUUACAACUACCAUUUUAAUUAUGCAGGUCGGUGCCUUCGUAUGUUUCCCGGGCAAAGAUAAUACUAAUAACAAUAUUCUUCGCACCUAGUGCGAGCAUGGCCUGCCUCCAUCUAUGCGUGUGCACAGUGGAUCCGUUCGCUGGUCGGAUGCAAUUACGGAUCGGGGCCGGACCGAGAAAAACGCCCAGUGCAUCGCUUGCCAAUUACUGGAAGGAAAGGCAAGGGAGUCUCCAAUUUGCUACUAACUUCUCUCAACGAAGGGCGGAAGCGGCACGGAAGGGUGUGGCACCCAGUUACCGAACGCGAAUUGCACGGAAGCCUUUGCGAAUGUGAACUGAGUGCAACAGUAUUUAUUAAUCUCUCAAAUGAUCACUCUUGAAGAAAUUAAUUGUGCAAAUUGAAGUAAAUCAAUUUGAGCGCGAUAAUAAUGAUCCACAAUGUGUUGAAUUAAAAGUACGUACAUAAUACGUAGAUUAGGGAUUUAAUUUAUAUUUAACAUACGAAAUGCUCGGUUGAACGCAUUUUUUACUUAAAUUAUGCGAAACAUUGCCGGGAGAAACACAAUGUAACAUUUUGACGUGUAACACGAACGUUGAUAACGUUCUGUUACAAUGGAAAAUAACAAGCUUUCUUUAUCGCGUAUUUCACGGUAGAAAAUGUGAUCGAUUGGCGUACGUGAUGGUGAAACUGAUACUAAAGAUAGGCACGCAAAGUACAAAUGUCAGAGUAAAUCAAUAAUAUAAAGGAACGUUGCUGCGAAACACAGAGCAAGUACUAUAAUAAAUACACUAGAUCAGAAGAAUUCUAAAAUUAAACAGAACAACGUAUAAAUACUACACUUUGACUGGAAUAUUAAACCUACUACGAAAAUGCUAUAUCAAAAAUACAUCCAAUGUUAAAAAUAGAAUUCAAUAAUGUUACAAAUAACCACUAAUGUAUACAACAAUAUGUAAACGAAAGAACUGUUUGGCCAACUUAAAAUAAAUUCACUGAAGAAGGUUGCAAAUUUUGAUCUGUCGUUGUUCUUUGAUGGAUCAAUCCUCAAUGAUAUUUUUAAUCGAUAGAACGAUCAUCUGAUCAUAUCGACUAAAUGUUAACAUAUUUCGCAUUGAUUACACAAAGAUACAUCUGUUUCGUAUGAUCGCUUAAUCGUUCAUAUAAAAGUACGUCGUCCUUCUACUUGUCUAUAACGUAUUAUUUCCUGCUUCUCCUAUCAAGUACCUCAUCGAUUAUAGCAAUGUUUUAAAAGGAUAAUCGUAAAUCUAAAUACAACAAUUUUGUACAAGGUGGAUAUACUUUAAGGUAAUCAACGGUGAAACGAUAUUACGAAAAAAAGGUAUUUUUACGUGACCAGCAGGAGAUGUGUUAAUAAGCAAAUCAGCUCGUUUCGUAAACGAGAAUAAGGUGGACGACGUAUCGUUCGAGCGAUACGAUGGCAUACAGAUCAUUCGUUUCGAGGACGCGGAGUCGGAAUGAAAGAACGUGGGUGCGAGACACGAGCGAGCUGUGUCGAGCAGGUAAUCGAAAAUGCGAUGCGAGUGCCACGCCGGCGGUCUUUGUCGGCAAGCCUGCACGAGCAAAUGCAAAAGGCAUGAAUGCAGUUGAAACGGCACGAGCCGGCACGAAAGGCGUACGGUAGAGAACGACGUCUGCUGACGCAGACCGAGGCUUCCUCUUUGGCCAGACUUCCUGUCAGAAAUGAUCGUCGCGAUUCGCGCGAGCCAACCGUUCAUUCCGACCUUAUGAUUACAUUCUCGAUCAGCUCCAGUGAUCAAAUAAUGCCACUCACUUGUCAUCAUUUUCUUUUCUAUUCGUACAAUUGUCCUUUAAUGUCGUCGCACCCUGAUAGAAUAACGUUGCGUGUCUUAAUAUUGUUUCUAGUGUAGGUAAUAUUAUUACUUUACUAUUUUUACAAUAUUAUAAUAGAGAUUUAUAAUAUAAAUAGAGAUUUGAUUUAUCCUCUAAACGUUCCAACGAGCAUUUUAUUUUGUACAUUUUUACGAAUUAGAUACGUUAACUACAUUUUUUAUAAUUUCCAUUAAUUCAUAAAUACGCGCAGUCUAUUAAUAAUUAAACACACGAUUUGAGUAUUACGAAAUAUUAGUUGUCUAAAGUCACAAAUGACAACUUUUAAAAUAACAUUCUUUAUAUUCUGAUUAUAAGUGCCACUUUUACAGGUGUAUAUUGAAUCAACUUAAAUAAUAUAUUGAAUCCCAUAACUUUCAUUAAAUUGUAUACGUAUUUUACACCGUACAGUCAGAGAACCCAAAAUAAGGCGUAGUAACAAGCGCAUCAUGAAUGAAACCCGUGGAAUGUCAUUGAGAAACAGCAUGAACGCAACACGAUGACAUUAGUAUAUGCCAACGCAUUAUCUGCUUACUUCGUUACGUUACGUUCCUUUUCGACAAAAUCGCAAAACGGAACUCAGCCGAAUAUAUAUAGAACCGGUAUUAAUUUUAUGCAAAUACUUGCGAGUUUCGAAAAUUCAUUUUCUCAAUAAACUCGUUUGAUUCGCUCGAUCAAGUACAAUAAAGAUUUAUACGAGUUAAGAGACUUUUCCUUCGAACCUUGGUAUUCUGCUAAUUCGAUGUGAUGCACGAAUCAUCGUAGGUGGUCGAAGAUGGAGGUGUGGGAGUUCGUUUCACGAUGCCGAAAAUCGCGACAUCUUCGACACCGCAUCGACAUCCGGAGGAAGGCGCCUCGGUUGCGCAUAUUAAUUAUGCUACUUAUCGAUGCUAAUUAAUUCUUCUAAUUAACUAGGCGACGCAGUAACGCGCCGUUAACGCCUUUCAUUUAUAUAUCAUAUGGCACAUAGACAACUUUUACAUAUUUCUUUGCGUCAUACUGGCCUCCGAUAUCAAAAAGCUUUGCUUCGAUUAUUAUGCAAAUCGAUCAACGCGUUUCACCGAUCGUUUAUGCGCAUUUAUGGAUCACUCGAUACACAAAAAGGAAAUAAGAACGUCACAAGUGAGAAAAGUCUUUUCGUUUUUUACAUUUUCACUUGUUAACCAGGGAGAACGAGUUAACUCGUUACUCGGAUUUCCAAUCUCUUGAAUAUAACAAUUUCUUUAUUUAUACAUGGAUCUAUUAGUUUUUAAUAUGUAGCAUAGUGUGUCAUACAGUGAAUAAAAAUCGAAAUAAUCAUUGUUCGAUUUUGGUCUUAUUAUUCGAUGAUAUCAUCAGUCUGUAAAUAGCAUAAAUGUAAACAAUAAUUCCCCCUAAAAUCGAUAGAGGAUUAGUAAACAUCGCUUGUACAUUAAAAUUUAAUCGCAUGAAAAUUAGCUCACUCACUCAAUUAUAUAUUCUUGUUUUCCAAUUCUUGUUAAAUAGCGUUUGUUACAUCUUAAAUAUAAAGAAUUUGAGCAAAGAUAUGUACAAUGUUAAUUUCUAAUUUAAAAAUUCCUUUCUUUUUUUAAAGAACGAUCUUAAAAGAAAAGGAUCCAAAUUAUCCUAUAAUUUUAAUUGUUCUGUGUCAAGAAGAUAUUGUAUCACAUUGCUAUAUAACUUUUUUCUGCUACAAACUAUUACAUUGGAUGUUGUUUACUUUUCUAGCAAAAUGCAUUCGCAAUCGCGACUUGGUCGAGGAGUGUAAUUCUGAUUAUAUUUAUUCCAAACAAAUUUUUUAAGUUAUGGAAACUCCCUGUCCUUUGCUAAGUGUCAACACAAUAUCUUAUGGAAUAAAAGGGGGGAUAAAUGACUUGUGCAUGAUCCUUACGAAAUAAUAGAAAGAUCGUCCUUGGUAUCAACACUAUUUGCUUGAACGUCACCGCGUGUGGUUGGCCAAGGAAAUAAAUAUUCAACUGAGCCAAAGGGUAACGAAAAUAUUAACAAAAAUUUACUCGUGUCACAUGCUUUGAUAUCAAGUUUCUAUAAAACUGUAUAUUCGAAUUAUACGCAUUUGUUGAUUUUUGUCCCGAAUCCUCAUUCAAAUGCCGCACUGUGGAACGUGGAAACGUGGUCUGCAAACCUGCGAACGUCGUCUGCGAACGUGGACUGCGAACCUGCGAACGUGGACUGCGAACGUGCGACCGUGGCAAACGUGGUCUACGACCACCAGCGAAUUUUGAUUUUUAUUCCGAAUUCUCAUUCAACCGCCGUACUGUGCGUGUCAUUUCCAUUAAAAAUAAACCAUAUCGUACUUAUAUUUGCAAAAGUUAAGAUUGACCCAAUUAGAAUGUCAUCGUUAGUUACUAAUUCUGAAAUUAUAAAUAUUCUUGGCUAAGAGACCAGGACAACAGAUUAAACAGGUCAAAUAGACGGAUUAACAGAUUAAUAAAUAUAAUACUAAAAAAAAAAAAAACGGAAUCCCAUUUAUUAAUACAUUCAAAUCAUUUUCUCUUAUCAGAACUCGCGAGAUAUAUGAAUUUCUACUGAUAAGUUGACGAAAUACGCGUAACGCGUUUCCGUGACGUAGCGUUACGUCACUGGGAAACCCGGAAAGGAUAGGGCGGUAUUCUUCCGACGAAUAUUUCCGACAGUAUCCCUUUGGCGCAAAAACCAGAAAGGAGAUCCGGUAGGCUGGUUGUUUCGUCGAAGGACAAGAUUUUUGCGUCGGCGUGCGCUGCCGUUAAAACGACAAAUUAUCCAUCUUGUAGUACAAGGUUCCUCCACCUAACCGAUAGAGUAAAGAUUUCUGAAGCAGGGAGGAGGGCAGAUCCAUCCCUUCCAACGUUCUGCGGAUUCUUCCCGGACAGAUUUGGUGGGAGAGAUGGCUGUCGAGUGGGAAACCCGGAGUGGCGAACCAUCGGAGGGGAAGUGGAUUGACUUACGAGAGAUUCUUGCACAAGUGCUCGCAAUGCAACGGCGAGAACCUCCCGCAAAAGGAUUUACGACAUUACUUUCAUUCUUCCUCUAGAGAUUUUGUCCGGGCCGAUUUCUAAGGGCUCGUGUGCUUCUCACCGUCAAUGACUACCUGUUUCCAUUUCUGACAAGAUUUAAUUAACGUGCUACGAGGCUCCGAUUCCUUAGACACCGUUUUAAUACCGACGCUUGUUGCUUAGAAUGACACGUUGAAAUCGAUAUGUGUGAUACGAUUGUAGUGGAAAAGUUUAGAACCUGAUUUGGGUUGGGUUUGGGUUAUCGAGACGUAGCAUUGUUUAUUUAAAUUAUAUAUCUUCUACUUCUUUCCAACGAUUUCAUUUCGUUCUUCAAAUUAUCCUCGAAUAUAUGGUGUGAUAAAUAGUAAAAAUGUUCUAAUUUAACCAGGCUUUCUUGUUACCUCUUAUCGGUAGUUUUAAAGUAUUUUCAAAUAAUAAGAUAUGACGAGUAGUGAAAUUAGUUUAGUCUUUUAAAGCAAGUAAAAGUAUUCGUAGCUCUGUCCGUUACAUUUUAUCUUCUAAUUUUUCACGUUAUAUGGUAGUCGGUGUUUUAAUAGAAAUGUAAAGUAAUCUGAGUAAAAGCAAUCACAACUACCAUAAAAUGAACAGGAUUGAUGAUUCAUUAAUCAAUCAAUGUUGAGGUAAAGUCUCGAUCAAAACUUGUGCCAGAGAAGUUAACUCAAACUUCAAUUUGCUUUUAAAAUUGCAACAUUUCGAAUCGUAAUAGCGUGGUACCAAAAUGGCGCACGCAGUGGCACUCCGCUAAAAAUUACCGGAUACGGAUUCUUUUAAAACUUAUAAUUAUAGUCCUAUGGUGAAAUGAAGUAUUAACAUAUCACGGAAAUAUUCGAUCUCGUACGUUGAUCACGUUAUAUGGAAGAAUUCGAUGUUUAGACAUCUGAGAACUUGAGCAACAUUGAGGCUGAGACAGACUCACUACCGACAGGGUCGAUGUCCGGCGAAGGCCGCUAACGACGCCUAAUCUUUUCCAAGAAGUUGUCACAACUCGCCGCUCUUCUGGUAUCGAGCCACGUUCAGGAUCAGCUUAAGCUUCUCGAUGUACUGUACUUGGAGUAACUUAUAACUUAUCCAAUGAACAAACAGCAGCGAUUAACGUAACUUUCAAAUGCUAUUAAUAUAUCGAUUUCGUUCUUUUUUUUCGGAAAAAAUAUAAAAAUUGGCGGGAAUAAGAACUUAGAGCGUUGUUUCAUUUCAACAAUUUAAUGGUACUUUCUUUUUAGAGAAAGUGCGGCUGUUCUCUAAGAUGUGAGGUAUAUGGUAUAAUAAAGGGACAACAAUGCAUCUAUUACAUGUAUUGUAUAUUGUUUCUGAAUCGACAUAAUUCAGAUGAGAGUGAGUGAUUGGUAUUAUAUAAUUUUUGUCAAAUAGUUUGAAUAUUAAAGAACUGUCUUUACUAAUUCCAUCUGCUAAUUCAAAUUUUGUAACGAUAUUGUAUUCCAGAAUCUAAAAUGAAUUAUGAUACAUUAUAAUAACCUCUUAUAAUAUUAUUUUCAACUUUUAUUAAAGAAUUUAGCGCUUCAAGUCGAAUUAAAUUUUAUUUCAAAUACUACUCGAGUAGAUUUAGACUAUAUGUUACUCAUCAAGUAGUCGUUAGUAAAAUUUUGGAAAUUUCUAUAUUAAAGACGCGCUUUAAUCUAUAUAAAAUUAAUAUAAAACAUUAAUUACGAACGUUAACAAAUCCAUUUUUUCAUGUUACUAUUCUAAAUCAAAGUAGCCGAUUAAUAACAUCCUCACGGCAACUAAUGUCUUGUCAUUUCAUCCCUAAUCUAUUCUACAUGUGUAUAUCUAUUUACCUUUUUUACUCUUUGCAAUCCAUCAACUGAUUCGCCAUUUUGUCGCGAUGUUGUAAUAAUAAUGGCUACCUGUUAUACAUUUCCAGUAAGCUCGCUACUGAAAAAGUAUGGGCUGCACUUGGAAUCCUUGUGCUGAGAUUUCAUUUGCAUGAUACCGUCUUGGAACACGUCCAACGUGUAACAGAAUUCUGAUGCACAAUACAGAUUGAAGUGGUUAGGACAAUUUCAAAUCUGCCUUUCGAGCAUCCUGGUCCAGGUACUGAUCUGUUGGAGGCUGAUGGGGCGUGGCACCAGAAGAUGCGGGUUCUGCCAUUGGCUCGUACCUGUUAAACCAUUCACUGGUACAAUUGCUCUCUCUCUCUACUACACCGAUACUAUAACUUUAUCGAUCGCUUCACACUCAAAUUGAAAGGUCAAAUAGUGCUGCUGUUCCAACCAGUGGUGAUUUUUAUAUCUCUUCGAAAGUGUAAUUCUACAGUAAUUCAUCUCAAUUUGUUUGGAAUGAGACGAUAUAUAAGAUAUUCUUUUAGACUCUUAAUGCUACCAGACUAGUUUUUGUUCUUUAUCUGCCUUACUUAUCUGCAGUCGUGCAUAAAUACAGCAGAUAUAUAUCAAGAGAAAAAGUAGGCAAGUGUUUAUGUAUAUCUUCACCUGCAUCUUUUUAGUGCACGUUCAACUUUUGAAAGGAAUUCGUUCCACGUACGAGAAUGAAAUCGUGGAAGGCAUAGCCUGGUUCCGCGUAAAGUGUCGCCAAUUCCAGCAAAUCAUGAAAAUUCAUAGGUAUCGCUUUCACGGAACGAAUUACGAGACAGCCUGGCAGUUUUUCCACGAACCAGCUCAAGUGAAAGAAUCGAAGGCAAACCUGUUGUAAAAGAGUUGUAGUAAAUAUUAUUUAUUUAUCGAGUCACUGACGAUCGGUUGAUGGAACUUUAAAAGAUAGUGUGUAGGCUAAGAGGUAGAUUUUGUCAUCAAUAUCAACAAAUCCAUCGUCUUCCUCUAUAGUCUUGUCUUAUGGACUCCGGAACAUACAGAGUGUCCCAAGUUUAAGCGAUCGGGAAACAAGAAGAAGUUGCAUAAACACGUGUCUGUGACGCUUUAUUACGUUAAAAGAAGUUGACUUGUAUUUCCAUUUCAAAGUGCCGCCCUUCGUCUCGAACACAAGUUUGUCAUCAUAGGGAAAUUGAGUCUAUUACGCUUCGAAUUUCAUGUUUAUCUUGCUGUUGCAAUUGUGAACAAAUGCUGAUUUAUUCAAUGAAUGAACCAUUAAUCUUUUCUAUUGCUUCUUGUCGCGAAUUGAUUCUUGCACGAUGCACAAUCGCUUUCGCUAUUCCCCACUGAUAAAAGACUAACGAUGUAAGAUUUGAUGACCUCGUGAAACAAAUAAUGUGUUCUUCCCGAUCAAUUUUUCACGAUAAUGUUCUUCUAAUGCCUUUAGGUUUCGCAUUUCUGUUAUAACUUUUUUAUAAAACGUCAGCAGACUUAUGUUUAUAACAUAUUUUUUCUUAUCUCCACCUAUAGGACAUAUUGGAGACAUUUGAUCGUUUAAACUUCUGGGGCACGUUACAUAAUUGAAGCUUGACAAACAGCUUUUACGACUGAUAAUAAUGACAGUUGUUUAUUUGUGUAACCCCGUUGAGCAAUUAAAAGUGAUAAAUUACGUGAUACUGAUUAAACAAAUAACGAAAUUAUCGUCAAAUAGAUGUUUACACGAAUUGCUUCCUGUUUGCCCUCUUAAGCAUGCUAUAUCUAUUUAGUAUUAACUUUUUGGAUUAUACCACGCGUGUAUAAAUAUGAAUUAGAAGAAGUCAUAUAAUAACGUUAGUAUAACGUAUAUUAAUAAUUUAACUUAUGAUAAAGGAUACGCAAUUUUUUGAUGCAACAUAAAAUAUAAAAAAUGAAUUUUACGCAACAUGAUAUUGUGAAAUUGUUACUAACAGUAUAAUAAUAAUAAUAAUAAUAAUAAACAGUAUAAUAAUUUUAGUCCUAUAUUUGUUAGUUUAGGAUUUUAUAAAACUAAUCUUCGAAAAUUUCUGAGAAAUUUUAUCUUUAUAAAUAAAGUUUCUAAUUUUAAUUAAAGAAAUUAUAGUAAAUUUUAAAUUAAAUUACGAUUAAUACGCCUAUUAAUUUCUAGCUAUCUGUACUUAGAAAUGUCUUUCAUUUUAGUUCUCAUGCACGAAUUGUUAGGUAUCUGCAGGUUCUUAUUAAUAGAUACACAUAGAGUCGACCGUAGCAGUUUAAUUUUGAACGAACUCUUACAGUUUACGAAGUACUACAAUAAAGAAAGUAAUUAAAUAAGCUUAAUAAAAUUAAUACUAUCCAUUUACUACUUAUUUUUUCAAAUACAUAUGUUUUAUUGAUUUUUGCGUGACAGUAUUAAUACAAAAUAUUUUGAUCAGAUAAUAAAUAAAUAAACGGAUCCGAAAAUUUACGAUUACCUUAAUAUUCUAAAUUCAAAUUACUUCUCAUGUUAAAUCACUGAGACGACUAAAAUAUUGAUUUUAUCAAUAUCAAACUUAUUUCUCUCAUAUAUGUGGUGCACGACGUGAUAAUCGUCCCGCUGAGAUGCAUCAUUGUAUGAGUAUUGAACUCCUGUUAAGAUAUCAAACGUUUGAUUAAGUUAAAAAUAAAAUUAAUCGUCAACAUAACUUGAUGCAAUUUCCGUAAUAAAUGUUUUUGGCGUCGGUAGUAAGUAAGAAGCUUACAUCUUGUUCUCUGAUCGUUAUAUAAGUCACAAUUUACAUCAACUUGUAUCCAAUUGAUACAAAAAGUAAGAAUACGUGAUAUGUAUAGAACAUUUGUAAAGAAUCUACUCAACUUAAUAGGUCAUUUAGCAAAAUGUGUUCUUAGUUUUCAAUAAUGAAUUUUCAAAAAUUUUAUCGGGAAUUGAAUGAGAAAAAAUUAAACAUGAUAAGACAAAAUCAUAAUAGCCUAAUAUGUAGGUACAUUACAGCACUACGAAGUUUAACAAUUAUGUUUAAUGACAAACAUAAAUAUAUAUGUGUAGGUACAUUCCGUAAGAGCUGACUUUAAUGGCGUAAUUUAAUAUCCUUAUCUGUUAGAUUCUUAUCUGUUAGUAUUGUUCAUUAGCCAUAAUUUAUAAUUUGUAUAUGUGAUAUAAAACAAAUGUUACUUAUCAUAUUUCUGCGGAAUUUAUGUGGAAUUUACGAUAUUGUAAUAUUAUGUAAUUCAAUCUAAAAAUAAUCUUUAUUCCAUCGAGAAUAAAUUUUAUACGUAAAAGCACAUAUUCUGUUAGAUAUAUAUAGCUGAAAGUAAGACAAACAUCAAGAAUAAUGAAAUUACGUUGGGGGCUUCAUUUCCGCUGAAAUUUUAUUUGGAAAUAUACACGUGAGUUUGCCAAAUUCGCAACUAGAUAGGAAUGUACAAGAAAUUGUUCUACGAAAGAUUUAUGAUUUUCUCGAAAAUAAAACCUCCAACGCAAUUCUGUUGUUCCUGGUUUUCGUCGUAUUUCGAGACAUAAAAUCUGUCAAUCUUCGCUUCUGCCACAAAUUUAGACGGUGUUUAUAUACAUACUUUUAGAAAUAGUUCUUCAAAAAUAGACUAACAAAACGUAAUUCUAAAAUAGCUUGCACAUUUAAUGAUCUUUAAUCGUAAACGUGAAAGAAACAAUCUAUCAGAUUUUUAAAAGAUACGAAAAAUUGAAUAAAACAACAUACGUAAUAUGAUACACCAGUCCAAACUUUCUUCUUAAAAUUACACAGUGAAUUAUCAUUCAUUAUUUAUUACCUAAUUAAUAAUAAUUAUUACCUAAUUAAUAAUUAACAUAAUUUGACCGAGCAAUUGACGCAACAUUUAAAUAUAAGAAAAACCAAGAAAGACACUUUUCACUCGGUUUAACGCCAAGAUUUUCCCACGUUUCUACUUCUACGAGAUCAGCUCUAUAUUCCUUGCCCUAAAAACGAGAAUCUCGAAUUUUCAACUGAAAUAACGAUAUACAAAAAAUGUUAUCGUAUCACGCAUCUUCCUAAUCACAAUUCAUUAUUCGAUAAUCGUAUCAUCGCUCAAAUACUGUUAUAUUAAUCAAAAUAAUCAGUCGCGAUAAUUCAAUGUGUAUCAGGCUAAGUAUCAAGGUUUAAGUAGAUAAAAAUUGAAAGGAAGAGAAUGAAAGAAAGG